CAUAGGUAAUCAAAGAUUACGAAGCUCACCUCGACGAAUGUUAUCAGUUUAAGUAAUGCAAAUCCUACAUCAUAUUUUCUUAAUAUUAAGUAUUCAUCCCAACAACAAUAUUCUUGCAAGUUAUGCUUAACCCUCUACAUGGUAUAUACACAUUUCUAUCCAUGUAGUGUGAAAAACAUGUAUUGUGUAAACAAAUAUUCAUAACUGUCAAAACUGCAGAUAUCAAAGACUUCAAGUUCAUUCGGAUUGAUCUGUUCCCAAAACUUUAACCUGGGCUCUUGUAUGGAAAAUAUAGGUCGGAUCCAGCAUCCCAAGCAAGUCUAAUAGUGUCCAUCCUAAGAUGCAUCAUCCAUGCAAGUUUGGAUCAGCUAGGGCUUUCAGUUACUUGGGAAUGAAAAAUGUAGGUCAGAUCCAGCAUCCAAAGCAAGUCUGGUAGUGUCCAUCCCUAGAUACAUCAUCCAUGCAAGUUUGCUUCAGGUAGGGCUCAUAGUUACUUGGGAAUGAAAAUGUAGGUCAAAUCCAGCAUCCGAAGCAAGUCUGUUAGUGUCCAUCCCUAGAUGCAUCAUCCAUGCAAGUUUGGUUCAGGUAGGGCUUAUAGUUACUUGGAAAUGAAAAUGUAGGUCUGAUCCAGCAUCCGAAGCAAGUCUGCAUCAUCCAUGCAAGUUUGGUUCAGGUAGGGCUUAUAGUUACUUGGGAAUGAAAAUGUAGGUCAGAUCCAGCAUCCGAAGCAAGUCUGGUAGUGUCCAUCCCUAGAUGCAUCAUCCAUGCAAGUUUGGUCCAAAUAGGGCUUAUAGUUCCUGUGGAAUAGACCUACUCCAAAAACUUUAACCUGGUCACUCAUCUAGACAAUGUAGGUCAGAUUCAGCAUCCGAAGCAAGUCUGGUAUUGUACAUCCCUAGAUGCAUCAUCCAUGCAAGUUUGGUUCAGGUAGGACUUAUAAUUCCUUGGGAAU